UAGGUCCGGACUUCUGGCUGGCCAGGGUU
rnacentral:piRNA from 1 species